AUGAUGUUGAUAUGAAGUUUAAGUAAAUUAGUCUUCCAUAGCUUAAGUAAUUCCAUUUGUUAAGUAGUGGUUAUAAAAGGCCUCUGAUGAAGACAUACUAUUCAAAUGCAGAAAUGCAGGAUUGUCUUGACUUUCUAGGAAAAUUAGAAAUCCUGAGAAAUUUAGUUCUCUAGUUACUCUUAACAAAGUGGUAGAUUUU
rnacentral:lncRNA from 1 species